GUAGGACACUCUAUACGGAGUUACAAAGGAACGAUAUAAGCGAAGAGGUCUGGAAAGGCCCGCCAAAGAAGGUAACA
rnacentral:rRNA from 1 species